rnacentral:tRNA from 1 species
AAGGGUAUAACUCAAUGGUAGACUGCCAUGCUUAGCAUGCAUGAGGUCCUGGGUUCAAUCCCCAGUACCUCCA